rnacentral:rRNA from 1 species
AUUGACGCUGGCGGCAGGCUUAACACAUGCAAGUCGAACGGUAACAUAAAGAAGCUUGCUUCUUUGAUGACGAGUGGCGGACGGGUGAGUAAUGCUUGGGAAUCUAGCUUAUGGAGGGGGAUAACUACGGGAAACUGUAGCUAAUACCGCGUAAUAUCGAAAGAUUAAAGUGUGGGACCUUCGGGCCUCAUGCCAUAGGAUGAGCCCAAGUGGGAUUAGGUAGUUGGUGAGGUAAAGGCUCACCAAGCCGACGAUCUCUAGCUGGUCUGAGAGGAUGACCAGCCACACUGGGACUGAGACACGGCCCAGACUCCUACGGGAGGCAGCAGUGGGGAAUAUUGCGCAAUGGGGGCAACCCUGACGCAGCCAUGCCGCGUGAAUGAAGAAGGCCUUCGGGUUGUAAAGUUCUUUCGGUAGCGAGGAAGGCAUUUAGUUUAAUAGACUAGGUGAUUGACGUUAACUA